rnacentral:rRNA from 1 species
GAUGAACGCUGGCGGCAUGCCUAACACAUGCAAGUCGAACGAGAAUCUAUGGAUAGAGGAUUCGUCCAAUUGAAAUAGAGGACAGUGGCGAACGGGUGAGUAAUGCAUGAGCAACCUGCCCUUCAGAGGGGGACAACAGUUGGAAACGACUGCUAAUACCGCAUAACAUUUUGGGAAGGCAUCUUCCUGAAAUCAAAGAUUUAUCGCUGAAGGAUGGGCUCAUGUCUGAUUAGCUAGUUGGCGGGGUAACGGCCCACCAAGGCUGCGAUCAGUAGCCGGUCUGAGAGGAUGAACGGCCACAUUGGGACUGAGAUACGGCCCAGACUCCUACGGGAGGCAGCAGUGGGGAAUAUUGGGCAAUGGGCGCAAGCCUGACCCAGCAAUGCCGCGUGAAGGAAGAAGGCCCUCGGGUUGUAAACUUCUUUUAUCAGGGACGAAGGA